ACUCAAAUGAAUUGACGGGGGCCCGCACAAGCGGUGGAGCAUGUGGUUUAAUUCGACGCAACGCGAAGAACCUUACCUGGGCUCGAAAUGCAGUGGAAAACGGAUGAAAGUCUGGUCCCCGCAAGGGCCGCUGUAUAGGUGCUGCAUGGCUGUCGUCAGCUCGUGUCGUGAGAUGUUGGGUUAAGUCCCGCAACGAGCGCAACCCUUAUCUCUAGUUGCCAUCCCGCAAGGGGGCACUCUAGCGAAACUGCCGGCCACAAGCCGGAGGAAGGUGGGGAUGACGUCAAGUCCUCACGGCCUUUAUGUCCAGGGCUACACACGUGCUACAAUGGGCGGUACAAAGCGUCGCAAACCCGCGAGGGGGAGCCAAUCGCAAAAAGCCGCUCUCAGUUCGGAUUGCAGUCUGCAACUCGACUGCAUGAAGCUGGAAUCGCUAGUAAUCGCGGAUCAGCACGCCGCGGUGAAUACGUUCCCGGGCCUUGUACACACCGCCCGU
rnacentral:rRNA from 1 species